CUCACACUCCUGUUAUAAGAGCAUGAACGUUGAGGUCAUUUAGUAGUGACAUCAGUCAAUGCUUUGGAGACUCUGGGGAAGGACAGUGAGAAAACGACUACUGAUAAGUCAUCCACACAAAGAAUCAUGGCAGGCAACUUCUCCUCCAACUCCUCCUCCAACGACUCCCAGAUGUGCACUGCAGUCUAUACUGCCCUCUUCGCCACCUUCCUCUUUUUCCUCCCCGUCUUCAUCUUCGUCUUGUACCUGGGAUACCAGCGAUGGAGGAAACAGCGUUCUGUUGCCACGUCAGAAAUAAUGAGCCACUCUGAUGUCUUCACCAUGAACAUGGUGGUCAUAGAGCUCUUUGGCAUCUUGGGGUCUUGGUUCUACAUUUUUGGUGCAUACACAUUUCAAGAAAGGUACACAGCUGUAGGGAUGCACUUCCUCUCAGUUACCGCACCUGGACAGGCUCUCUUGCACCUCAUCACCUGUGUGGAGCGCUACCUGGCUGUCGUUCAUCCUGUCACCUACCUAGGACUGAAACAGUCAGGCGGGGUCCGGAUCAGAAACAUCACUAUUGGGUUUGUUUGGCUGACUUGCAUUGGAUCCCUGAGUGCAGUUCAUCUUCUUUUUCAUUGGUACACUUUUAAUAUGAUCGUGUUUAUUAUUUCCUCCAUCCUCAUCUGCUUCUGCAGCUUUUGUGUUCUUUACAUUUUGUUCCGCCCAGGCCCGGGGAAGGAGGGUGGGAACAGGGGGCGGGUUGAUCAGUCAAAGAAAAGGGCUUAUCAGACCAUCAUGGCUAUAAUAUGUGCUUUGUUGCUAAGGAUCUUUGGCAACAUUGGUCACAUUACAUUAGUUUUACAGUCAGGAAUCAACUCGAGGAAUUCUUGUGUAGCAAUGUGGUCUUUUGCCUGGUUCUCCCUUCCCAGCAGUCUGGUGCUUCCUCUGCUGUUUUUACAUCGAGUGGGGAAACUUCCACUUUGUAAAAGAAACACAGGAUGAGUUAGGUCUGAACAUGUUUGGGUACUUUAGAUAAGUCAAAGUGUGCCUUGCCUCGUGUCCACGGGUAGUGUACUUGGCCGGCGUGUUUUUUGCUGUCUAAAGUACAGUCUGCUGUAGACUGCGUCCACACACUCUCAUCCUCUGCAUCUGCUCCCCUCAUAAGAACUUUUUAAGUUACAUCUUUAUUUGACAGGACAUCUGAAGAGAGACAGGAAAUGUGGGGAGUAGAGAGUUAGGGAAGACAUGCAGCACAUGCGAGGAGGACUGUAGCCUUUGUGUAUGGGGCGCACUUAGACCGCUAGGCCCCCGGCCCCCCAAUAAGAACUUUUAAAGCUGUCUCUUAUUAUUGUUAUGCAGAUGACAUUUAGGUGUAAAUGUCUUAAACUGGAAAAUGUCUCUUAACUGUUUUGUUUCAUUUUGGAGAGAUUAUUGUUAAUUUCUUUUCAGCUGUCUGAGCAACACGUCUUUGCUGAGGGUCUCAUAUCACACCCAUACUCAGGUCUUUGCACUGGCUUCUCAUCUAAUCCAGUUUAAACUCUUGUGACUGUGCACAGAGCACAGCAUGGUCAAGCUCCAGCCAGACUCAAAACUAUAGGAGAUCAUACAGUGCGUUUCGGGUUGUUGCUCCUAAAAUGUGGAACUGUCCUCCACUGGAGCUGAGACAGUAUCUGAGCUAUGGCCUGAAUGUAAUAUACUAUGUACAAAUACUUCUUCUCCAUUUCAUAUGUAAAACCGUAACUUUAUGACCCUUUAAAUAAAACAUACUGACGCUGUUGUUGAGCACCUGAGAUCCUGCUCCAGCCGUUCCUCUGUAAAUCCACCUGUGCUGGGUUUUACCUUCUUCAGACAUGUAGUCAUGAUCUGUUGUUCUACUUGUAUUUUCUUGUUGCAUUUGUGUCUCUAAAGUGCAUAUUCAUUGUUGUGUGUGUUUUGUCUCUGCCUCUUGUGUAUUACAAAAUUGUACUACCCAUCUUGAGACAGAAUUGCAUAAAUCUUCUAAAUGUUAAUAUGAAUAAAA